rnacentral:rRNA from 1 species
UACGAAGGGGGCUAGCGUUGUUCGGAUUUACUGGGCGUAAAGCGCACGUAGGCGGAUCGUUAAGUCGGGGGUGAAAUCCUGGGGCUCAACCCCAGAACUGCCUUCGAUACUGGCGAUCUAGAGUCCGGAAGAGGUGAGUGGAACUCCUAGUGUAGAGGUGGAAUUCGUAGAUAUUAGGAAGAACACCAGUGGCGAAGGCGGCUCACUGGCCCGUAACUGACGCUGAGGUGCGAAAGCGUGGGGAGCAAACAGG